AUUGAACGCUGGCGGCAGGCCUAACACAUGCAAGUCGAACGAGUGGCGGACGGGAGAGUAAUGUGUGGGAAACUGCCUGAUGGAGGGGGAUAACUACUGGAAACGGUAGCUAAUACCGCAUACCAUCGGAUGUGCCCAGAUGGGAUUAGCUCGUAGGUGGGGUAAAGGCUCACCUAGGCGACGAACCAUAGCUGGUCUGAGAGGAAGACCAGCCACACUGGAACUGAGACACGGUCCAGACUCCUACGUGAGGCAGCAGUGGGUAAUAUUGCACGAUGGGAGCAAGCCUGAGGCAGCCAUGCCGCGUGUAUGAAGAAGGCCUUCGGGUUGUAAAGUACUUUCAGUAGGGAGGCGUUACCCGCAGAAGAAGCACCGGCUAACUCCGUGCCAGCAGCCGCGGUAAUUC
rnacentral:rRNA from 1 species